GGAAGUAGAAAGGCCCGGCGUUUCCAUGGCGGCGUCCUGGGGGCAGGUGCUUGCUCUGGUGCUGGUGGCCGCACUGUGGGGUGGCACUCAGCCGCAGCUGAAGCGGGCCUCCGCCGGCCUGGAGCAAGUGCAUGAGCGGACGUGGGCCCGGCAGCUGUUGCAGGAGAUGAAGACUCUCUUCUUGAAUACUGAGUACCUGAUGCCCUUCCUCCUCAAUCAGAGUGGCUCCCUUCUCUACUACUUGACGUUGGCAUCAACAGAUCUGACGUUAGCUGUGCCCAUCUGUAACUCUCUGGCCAUCGUCUUCACACUGACUGUUGGGAAGGUCCUUGGAGAGGAUAUUGGUGGAAAAGAAGCAGUGGCUGGCAUGGUGCUCACCAUCACAGGGAUCACACUGUGCAUCACAAGCUCGACUGUCAGCAUCUACAGUGCCUCCCGCUACAUGGAAAGGGCUCGCUGGAGCCUCAACCAGGAAUGGCCGGAAGCCCCCACAGCUCCAUAA